UGAACCCUUGGGUACCUUGGGGGUAACAUAGGCUAACAAUUCGGAAUUCUACGGGCAACGCAGGGCACUUUAGCUUUAGAGAAAAUAAGAAAGAAGACGACAAUUCCACAUCCGUUCUUUCGUACAAUCAAAGAAAAAUGCUAAACCAAAGGAAUGUAAUGCAGAGUCAAGCAACAGAAAAAUAUAGAGAAAACAUUAUAAAAAUUACACAAAACUUACAGGAAAAUACAGAAA